rnacentral:rRNA from 1 species
AUUAGAGUUUGAUCCUGGCUCAGAUUGAACGCUGGCGGCAUGCCUUACACAUGCAAGUCGAACGGCAGCACGGAGCUUGCUCUGGUGGCGAGUGGCGAACGGGUGAGUAAUAUAUCGGAACGUACCCUAGAGUGGGGGAUAACGUAGCGAAAGUUACGCUAAUACCGCAUACGAUCUAAGGAUGAAAGUGGGGGAUCGCAAGACCUCAUGCUCGUGGAGCGGCCGAUAUCUGAUUAGCUAGUUGGUAGGGUAAAAGCCUACCAAGGCAUCGAUCAGUAGCUGGUCUGAGAGGACGACCAGCCACACUGGAACUGAGACACGGUCCAGACUCCUACGGGAGGCAGCAGUGGGGAAUUUUGGACAGUGGGCGAAAGCCUGAUCCAGCAAUGCCGCGUGAGUGAAGAAGGCCUUCGGGUUGUAAAGCUCUUUUGUCAGGGAAGAAACGGUGAGAGCUAAUAUCUCUUGCUAAUGACGGUACCUGAAGAAUAAGCACCGGCUAACUACGUGCCAGCAGCCGCGGUAAUACGUAGGGUG